rnacentral:tRNA from 1 species
GACCUUGUGGCCUAGUGGAUAAGGCGUCGGCCUCCGGAGCCGAAGAUUGUGGGUUCGAGUCCCAUCAAGGUCG